AGAUUGAACGCUGGCGGCAUGCCUUACACAUGCAAGUCGAACGGCAGCGCGGGGCAACCUGGCGGCGAGUGGCGAACGGGUGAGUAAUAUAUCGGAACGUACCCUGGAGUGGGGGAUAACGUAGCGAAAGUUACGCUAAUACCGCAUACGAUCUAAGGAUGAAAGUGGGGGAUUCGCAAGAACCUCAUGCUCCUGGAGCGGCCGAUAUCUGAUUAGCUAGUUGGUAGGGUAAAGGCCUACCAGGCAUCGAUCAGUAGCUGGUCUGAGAGGACGACCAGCCACACUGGAACUGAGACACGGUCCAGACUCCGUAGGGAGCAGCAGGUGGGAAUUUGGACAAGUGGGACGAAGCCUGAUCCAGACAAUCGCGCGUGAGUAGGAAGACGGUCCGUGGUU
rnacentral:rRNA from 1 species